GUUGUGGCAGAGGGGUUGGCUUGUGUCCCCCCCAGCUUCAUGGAAUCUUCUUUUGAUUGGAGCCACAGAGGGCUCUUUGGAGAGCUACAGAAGUACAGACACACACCUGGUUUUCUUGUGGACUUGACGCACAAUAUUGAUCAGGUGAAUCCAAUCUCUUUGUCUAAGUUUCCAUGAUUUUUAAUAGAAAAGUGAUUGCAUCCCUAAUUGUGAGCAUUAGAGUCAAUUACCCUGAUACCUGAACUUCAGCUUCAGUCAGUGAAACAAAAAUCUCUGGGAAGUACUCUCAAGCAUUAGAUUUAUGAAGCUUGCAGGGAGGUUCCUAGAUAU
rnacentral:lncRNA from 1 species